rnacentral:rRNA from 1 species
AGUGAACGCUGGCGGUAGGCCUAACACAUGCAAGUCGAACGGCAGCACAGUAAGAGCUUGCUCUUACGGGUGGCGCGUGGCGGACGGGUGAGGAAUACAUCGGAAUCUACUUUUUCGUGGGGGAUAACGUAGGGAAACUUACGCUAAUACCGCAUACGACCUACGGGUGAAAGCAGGGGAUCUUCGGACCUUGCGCGAUUGAAUGAGCCGAUGUCGGAUUAGCUAGUUGGCGGGGUAAAGGCCCACCAAGGCGACGAUCCGUAGCUGGUCUGAGAGGAUGAGCAGCCACGCUGGAACUGGGACACGGUCCAGACUACUACGGGAGGCAGCAGGGGGGAAUAUUGGACAAUGGGCGCAAGCCUGAUCCAGCCAUACCGCGUGGGUGAAGAAGGCCGUCGGGUUGUAAAGCCCUUUUGUGGGGAAAGAAAAUCAGCAGGUUAAUACCCCGCUGUUCUGACGGGACCCAAAGAAUAAGCACCGGCUAACUUCGUG